rnacentral:rRNA from 1 species
UGCAAGUCGUGCGAGAAAGGGGACUUCGGUCCCUGAGUAGAGCGGCGCACGGGUGAGUAACGCGUGGAUUAUCUACCCGAUUGUUCGGGAUAACGGCGGGAAACUGCCGCUAAUACCGGAUACGCUCCAAUUUCGGUUGGGGGAAAGGCGGCCUCUGCUUGCAAGCUGUCGCAAUUGGAUGAGUCCGCGUCCCAUUAGCUUGUUGGUGGGGUAAUGGCCUACCAAGGCUACGAUGGGUAGCUGGUCUGAGAGGAUGAUCAGCCACACUGGAACUGAAACACGGUCCAGACUCCUACGGGAGGCAGCAGUGGGGAAUAUUGCGCAAUGGGGGAAACCCUGACGCAGCGACGCCGUGUGAGGGAAGAAGGCUUUCGGGUCGUAAACCUCUGUCAGGAAGGAAGAACCUCUCAGGGCUGAACAAGCCCUGGGACUGACGGUACUUCCAGAGGAAGCACCGGCUAACUCCGUGCCAGCAGCCGCGGUAAUACGGAGGGUGCAAGCGUUAAUCGGAAUCACUGGGCGUAAAGCGCGCGUAGGCCGUCUUUUAAGUCGGACGUGAAAGCCCUCGGCUCAACCGGGGAACUGCGUUCGAAACUGGGAGACUUGAGUCCUGGAGAGGGUGGCGGAAUUCCGGGUGUAGGAGUGAAAUCCGUAGAUAU